CCUACGGGCGGCAGCAGUGAGGAAUAUUGGUCAAUGGACGAGAGUCUGAACCAGCCAAGUAGCGUGAAGGAUGACUGCCCUAUGGGUUGUAAACUUCUUUUAUAUGGGAAUAAAAUGUUCCACGUGUGGGUUUUUGUAUGUACUAUAUGAAUAAGGAUCGGCUAACUCCGUGCCAGCAGCCGCGGUAAUACGGAGGAUCCGAGCGUUAUCCGGAUUUAUUGGGUUUAAAGGGAGCGUAGGCGGUAUGUCAAGUCAAGGGUGAAAUCCUGGCGCUCAACGGGGGAACUGCAUUUGAAACUGGCAAACUUGAGUGUAGGAGAGGAUAGUGGAAUUCGUGGUGUAGGGGUGAAAUGCGUAGAUAUCAGGAAGAACUUC
rnacentral:rRNA from 1 species